UACGGGGGGGGUAAGCGUUGUUCGGAAUUACUGGGCGUAAAGGGCUCGUAGGCGGCCAACUAAGUCAGACGUGAAAUCCCUCAGCUUAACUGGGAACUGCGUCUGAUACUGGAUGGCUUGGAUUUGGGAGAGGGAUGCGGAAUUCCAGGUGUAGCGGUGAAAUGCGUAGAUAUCUGGAGGAACACCGGUGGCGAAGGCGGCAUCCUGGACCAAUAUUGACGCUGAGGAGCGAAAGCCAGGGGAGCAAACGGG
rnacentral:rRNA from 1 species